AUGCGGCUUUGGAUCUUGACUAAGGAUUAUCUUCAACUAGAAAACAUCAACACUGACACUUGGCAUCUUGAGAGAUCCGUCAAAGAUUGGUGGAUCAAGCGGUCGGACUCUUCCAUCCCCAAUAGGAAGGACAAGGCUUCCAACACCAUGUAUGUAUGCUGGGCCAAAUGGAAUGAAAGAAAUGUACGGAUUUUUCGCAACAAGAGUGUUGCACCGUCGGUAUUGCUACAUGCCAUAAAAGAUGAAGCUCGUCUUUGGGCGAUCACGGGGGCGAAAAAAAUAGGCGUCAUCUAAUCAGGAGAGCAAUCACUUUGUGUGUCGGGCCUUGUAACUUUCUCUCCCUAUCCCUACGAGGCAAAAAAAAAUUGCCUCCUUUCAAAAGAAAUUUUGUAA
rnacentral:rRNA from 1 species